GGGCUGAGGGGGAACAAAAUGGUGGACUAAAAAAGCCUUCAUCAUGAGGGAGGUCAGGAGGGCUGAGGGGGAACAAAAUGGUGGACUGAAUUAGCCUUCAUCAUGAGGGAGGUCAGGAGGGCUGAGGGGGAACAAAAUGGUGGACUGGAAAAGCCUUCAUCAUGAGGGAGGUCAGGAGGGCUGAGGGGGAACAAAAUGGUGGACUGGAAAAGCCUUCAUCAUGAGGGAGGUCAGGAGGGCUGAGGGGGAACAAAAUGGUGGACUAAAAAGCCUUCAUCAUGAGGGAGGUCAGGAGGGCUGAGGGGGAACAAAAUGGUGGACUGAAUUAGCCUUCAUCAUGAGGGAGGUCAGGAGGGCUGAGGGGGAACAAAAUGGUGGACUGAAUUAGCCUUCAUCAUGAGGGAGGUCAGGAGGGCUGAGGGGGAACAAAAUGGUGGACUGAAAAAGCCUUCAUCAGUUGUUAUAAAGACUGACACUACAAGCUUCCUGUUGGUUGACAGACCCAUUGCUUCACCAAUGAAGUUUGUAUUAAAGGCUGUGUGUUCCAACUGGCUGCCUAUUCCCUAAAUAAUGCACUUCCUAUGGCUCUGGUCAAAAGUAGUGCACUAUAUAGGGAUUAGGGUGCCAGUUGGCUGAAAGCUCCAAGUAUGGGAAGCAUUGAUAAAGGGGGGGACAGGUCAGGGGUCUGGGAAGCAUUGGUAAAGGGGGGGGACAGGUCAGGGGUCUGGGAAACAUUGGUAAAGGGGAGGACUUGGGAAACAUUGGUAAAUGGGAGGACUUGGGGUCUGGGAAACACUGGUAAAGGGGAGGACUUGGGAAACAUUGGUAAAUGGGAGGACUUGGGGUCUGGGAAACAUUGGUAAAUGGGAGGACUUGGGGUCUGGGAAACAUUGGUAAAUGGGAGGACUUGGGGUCUGGGAAACACUGGUAAAGGGGAGGACUUGGGAAACACUGGUAAAGGGGAGGACUUGGGAAACAUUGGUAAAUGGGAGGACUUGGGGUCUGGGAAACAUUGGUAAAAACUUGG
ensembl:lncRNA